UACGGGGGGGGCAAGCGUUGUUCGGAAUUACUGGGCGUAAAGGGCUCGUAGGUGGUCAACUAAGUCAUACGUGAAAUCCCUCGGCUUAACCGGGGAACUGCGCCUGAUACUGGUUGACUUGAGUUUGGGAGAGGGACGCGGAAUUCCAGGUGUAGCGGUGAAAUGCGUAGAUAUCUGGAGGAACACCGGUGGCGAAGGCGGCAUCCUGGACCGACACUGACACUGAGGAGCGAAAGCCAGGGGAGCAAACGGG
rnacentral:rRNA from 1 species